GGCUCUGGCUGUUGUCCCCGGGUGGGCAGCCAGUAGAUGGGAGGUAUGGGGUUUGGGGAGACAAGGGCCAGCAUAGGCAGGAUCCUUCCAAGCCUUUAGCUGACCUUCAGGAAAUGCUUACAAGACCAGGCUGAGAGAGCUCUGGCCAGCUCCCUUGCGCUCUCCUUACUGAACUCUAAAUGUAGUGACAGGGAAGGGGCCUACAUCUAUCCUGCAGGUAAAUUAUGGAAAGUCUCGCCCCUAAAAUUGUGGAGCAUCUUUGAAUAAGUCAGUUUCUGUCUCUAGGCCUCAGUUUCCCUGCCUGAAAAAUGAGGAGUUGGAGAGGGGGUUUCCCUCAUUCUGCCUCAGUUUCCGCCUCUGUCACAUGGGGAUGCUAGCCCUUGCACUCAGCACUGCCAUAGAGAUGGAGGAGCUGGGACCCAUUCUGCCCCCUUCCCCCUCUGCCACGUCCCCAGACCCAUGUCCAGCCCUCCUGGGGGUCCCUGGGGAGGGCUCCUCUGUCCCACACUGAUGUCUCUCUUGGCCGCUUCCCCCAAGCUCUGCCUUCUGAGGCCACUCAAAGGAAGUCAUCUCCCUACCCCAGGAAAGCUUGCCGCAUUUGGAGAUGCUGUUUGGGCUCCCUGAAUGCUCUCUUCUCCAGACUAAACAGAGCCAAUCCCUGAGGCCUCUGGUGACCUAAAUCCUACAACUCCUGAGAUAGGAGAGACUUGAAGCUCUCAAGCUCAUCCUCAUCAUGGAUGGAGGCUGAGAAAGGGGAGCUGCUCUUCCAGGUCCUGUGUCUCUCCAAGAGAAACUGAGAUGCAGAGACAGAGACCAACUGGCCAGCCUGGCCCCAGGGCCGGAUCUCCUAAUUCCAGAGUCUGUGAGACAAGUGACCGAUGGAGAAUCUUUCCCUAGAGGCAGAGCCAUCUAGGGACAAGGAGAGCACAGGUGGCCCAGUUCCUCCUCCUUCCGGCUGGGAGAUGUUGACAGUCUGGAGAGAAAAGUGAAUGAGAGAUGGGAUAAAGUCAGCUGGGCUCAGGAAUUCCUCCAGCUUACAAGUGGAGCAGGGCCCCAUUCUCUUUCCGGUGUGAUCUCACCCUUCCUCGAGCCAUCCCUGUGACGCAGGGCGGGGGCUGCCACCUAUGUCCCCAUAACACGGAUGAAGAGACUAAGGCCCAGAGAGAGUGCCUUGCCGGGGCUCUCACCUCAUCUGCAUCCUCCAGAACCCAGGCCUGAAGACGAGAUGGAACCGCGCCAUAUGACAAAAAUCAGCAUACCCGGAGCCCUGCCUUCCGUCUGCCAUAAUUAGCUCCUCCGUUCCCACCCUCCCCUCUUACCUCCUGACAAGCAAAUGUUGUUUUCUUGGUUUGUCACAUGGAGUUUCCAAAGCAGAUGAGAGCAAGCUCUGAGUCUGAGAGCCCAAGUUAGGUAGCAGGUCAGCAGUGGGUCUGAGGGGCCGCACAGGCUUGACCCUGAUCUGAGAGGGCGCCUCGGACCUGGCUGAGCUCCUGAUUAGGCCGGCAGGGGCCUAAGGGUUAGAACACUGCACACAUUCCCCUUCAGGCUGGCGAGGGCCAGGCAUCUCAGGAGAGUGGAGCCCAAUGCACCCACCCCCGGGGGCCAGAAUAAGCCCUUCAACCGAGGAACAGCCAGGGACCGCAUUAUGGAAGGAUUGACUUUAAACGGAAGUGUAGACAAGCCGGAGGCAGAAACCGUAAUAGAGAAAAGUCCCCCCAGCUGCCCAGGAGAGGGAGAGGGAGGAGAGAGAGAGAUGAGGAAAAGGAAGAAA